rnacentral:rRNA from 1 species
AACGAACGCUGGCGGCAUGCCCCAUACAUGCAAGUCGAACGAGGUCUUCGGACCUAGUGGCGCACGGGUGAGUAACAUGUGGGAAUCUACCUGAAGGUUCGGAAUAACUGCGGGAAACUGUAGCUAAUACCGGAUGUGUCUGCAAAGAGAAAGAUUUAUCGCCUUCAGAUGAGCCCGCACUAGAUUAGCUAGUUGGUGAGGUAAUUGCUCCACCAAGGCUACGAUCUAUAGCUGAUUUGAGAGGAUGAUCAGCCACACUGGGACUGAGACACGGCCCAGACUCCUACGGGAGGCAGCAGUAGGGAAUAUUGGACAAUGGGGGAAACCCUGAUCCAGCAAUGCCGCGUGAGUGAAGAAGGCCUUCGGGUUGUAAAGCUCUUUCAUCAAUGAUGAUAAUGACAUUAGUUGAAGAAGAAGCCCCGGCUAACUUCGUGCCAGCAGCCGCGGUAAUACGAAGGGGGCUAGCGUUGUUCGGAAUCACUGGGCGUAAAGCGUAUGUAGGCGGAUCAAAAAGUUAGAUGUGAAAUCCCUGGGCUCAACCCAGGAACUGCAUUUAAAACUAGUGAUCUAGAAUUUGGUAGGGGCCAGUAGAAUUUCCAGUGUAGAGGUGAAAUUCGUAGAUAUUGGAAAGAAUACCAGUGGCGAAGGCGACUGGCUGGGCCAUUUUUGACGCUGAGAUACGAAAGCGUGGGUAGCAAACAGGAUUAGAUACCCUGGUAGUCCACGCAGUAAACGAUGAGUGCUAGUCGCUGGGACAUUAGUUUCAGUGUCGAAGCUAACGCAUUAAGCACUCCGCCUGGGAAGUACGGUCGCAAGAUUAAAACUCAAAUAAAUUGACGGGGGCCCGCACAAGCGGUGGAGCAUGUGGUUUAAUUCGAAGCAACGCGAAGAACCUUACCAGACCUUGACAUGGUAUGUUUGAAUUACAGAAUCGUAAUUCUUCAGUUCGGCUGGCAUACACACAGGUGCUGCAUGGCUGUCGUCAGCUCGUGUCGUGAGAUGUUGGGUUAAGUCCCGCAACGAGCGCAACCCUCAUUUUUAGUUGCCAUCAGGUUAAGCUGGGCACUCUAAAAAAACUGCCGGUGAUAAGCUGGAGGAAGGCGGGGAUGACGUCAAGUCCUCAUGGCCCUUACGGUCUGGGCUACACACGUGCUACAAUGGUGGUGACAGUGGGCAGCAAUACUGCAAAGUAAAGCUAAUCCCAAAAAACCAUCUCAGUUCGGAUUGGACUCUGCAACUCGAGUCCAUGAAGUUGGAAUCGCUAGUAAUCGUAGAUCAGCGUGCUACGGUGAAUACGUUCUCGGGCCU